rnacentral:rRNA from 1 species
GCUGGCGGCGUGCUUAACACAUGCAAGUCGAACGAACCACUUUGAUUUGAUUCUUCGGAUGAAGAUCUUAGUGACUGAGUGGCGGACGGGUGAGUAACGCGUGGGUAACCUGCCUCAUACAGGGGGAUAACAGUUAGAAAUGACUGCUAAUACCGCAUAAGACCACAGCACCGCAUGGUGCAGGGGCAAAAACUCCGGUGGUAUGAGAUGGACCCGCGUCUGAUUAGGUAGUUGGUGGGGUAACGGCCUACCAAGCCGACGAUCAGUAGCCGACCUGAGAGGGUGACCGGCCACAUUGGGACUGAGACACGGCCCAAACUCCUACGGGAGGCAGCAGUGGGGAAUACUGCACAAUGGGGGAAACCCUGAUGCAGCGACGCCGCGUGAGCGAUGAAGUAUUUCGGUAUGUAAAGCUCUAUCAGCAGGGAAGAAAAUGACGGUACCUGACUAAGAAGCACCGGCUAAAUACGUGCCAGCAGCCGCGGUAAUACGUAUGGUGCAAGCGUUAUCCGGAUUUACUGGGUGUAAAGGGAGCGUAGACGGAGUGGCAAGUCUGAUGUGAAAACCCGGGGCUCAACCCCGGGACUGCAUUGGAAACUGUCAAUCUAGAGUACCGGAGAGGUAAGCGGAAUUCCUAGUGUAGCGGUGAGAUGCGUAGAUAUUAGGAGGAACACCAGUGGCGAAGGCGGCUUACUGGACGGUAACUGACGUUGAGGCUCGAAAGCGUGGGGAGCAAACAGGAUUAGAUACCCUGGUAGUCCACGCCGUAAACGAUGACUACUAGGUGUCGGGCAGCAAAGCUGUUCGGUGCCGCAGCAAA